rnacentral:lncRNA from 10 species
GUAGGUGCCCUGAUACUUGCCUGACAGCUGGAAAGCGUGGCUCAGAAGAGGUAGGUGGGAGAAGAGGCCACAUAGUAUCUCCCUGGGCCUCCUGGUGAAAAACUUGUGUGUGAUUUUUCAGGCCUGACCACAAACUUGGGGAAAGCUGACCCCUACCCCAGACUUGGGGCACAGCCCAUGCGUGGCAGUCUCUGGAGGGAGCUCUCAAGGUCUCAGGUCUCUCUGGCUGGUCGUAGUCAUCACAUAUUUGCAUUCCUAGCCCCUGAGCCUUCAUUCCUGGGUUUAUCAGAAGCCUUGGGGAGAGGUGUUCUUUAGGCGCCUCUGCUGAGGCCUUCUUUGGGUGGGGCAGGGAAGGGAGAGAAAUCUUGAAGCCGCUUUUCCCCACAAUGACUCAGAAUCUAGUACUUCCACUCCUAGCCUUCCCCCUCCCUUGCUCUCGGCCCCAGAGUCCAUAAAACUUCCAGAGCCUUUUGUUCAGGGCUCUGUCAGCAGUGAGACCACCCCAACCCGACAUUCCUGCUGAUCUACUUGACCCUGGGCCCCUGUGUGUUCCAUGGGGGAAAUGGAACAGGGAGAGUCCACGCUUUCUCUGGUUUCAGAUACUUGCUUAUACCAUUGCAGGACAUGACUGAAAGCUUGACUCUUUUGUUUUGGGCUUGUUGCCUUAAUUGACUAUUGUGACACCUGGCAGCUCAGCGCUCCCUCUCCCAGUUCAACUGAGCUCCUGACAGAGGGACUCCACCUUCAACUUGCCAGGGACAGGCACUCAAAGGACGGGCUUCAUUUCUGUUGAAGGCUCUGGCUUCUCCUAAUAUGUUUCUAAUUCAUUUCUAGAUUCAGAUCUCUCUCUACCUCUCCAUAUCACACAUUCACAAACAAUAACUGCCUGAGGACCAGGAGAAGCACAGGGCCUGCCUCGUUAUUCCUCCCCUGCAUGCUGACUCUUCCACUGGGGCUGGGCAGAGUCAGCACAUGCAGGAGGGGAAUCAUGAGCCAGGCCCUGGCCAGAUCCAGAUUUCUAGACAUGAGAACUACCCAAACCCCAGAGACCCAGUUCUUCCAUCUACUUUACUGAGGAGGAACCAGAGAGUCUGAAAAGUAAGUGACUUGGCCAAGGUCACCCAACUGGAACCCAGGGCCUAACCUUUGGGUUCAAACUCUGAUCAUGACCAGACUGCCUCCUUGAAUCUUCUUUCUACUUUCCCGGUACAGUUUCUGUGCAGAGCUGAGUCCUUGGGUGCCCAGGACUACACUAAGCCCUCUCAAGUCAGUACUUUCUAGGAGGCUGUAGCCUAACUGGAGAGAGAGGUGAGACCAGGGGUUCUCAGACUUGAGCAGAUGUUAGAAUCAGCUGGUGGGCUAGUUAAAACACAGAUCUGCUGGCCCCACCCCAGGUUGCUGAUUCAGUAGGCCUGGGAUGGGGUCUGAGAAUUUGUACUUCUAACAAGUUUCCAAGUAUGGCUGAUAAGAACCACUGGACUUAACCAUAAACAACCAAAAGUAACAGAGGCAGUGAAUGGAAACCGAGCAAAGGCAGGUAGAGAAAGGAGAGAAAUGAGGGUGACAUUGUUUCUAAGGGCAGGAAAUGAACUCCAGGGGCUGGUCCUUGGGAGGUCCUUCUCUUCCCUCUACCUUCAUCUACCCUGACUUCGGGUGUAUCUAGAAGUUUCACAGUAGCAUAUAAAUUCCCCCUCUCUGCUGGAGGGCUCUGGCCAACAGGUGAAGCCAAAACCAUCACCUGUAGGAGGUUACUUAGAGCUGGCUCCUGUCCCAACACCCUCCUCUCGGCUUCCCCGUUCACAUCGCUGCAGCCGGCACAGCUGCCUGCCUCCCAUGGAGCCUGGGGGCACCUGUCCUAAAGGCUCAAGGAUGAAGAGUCGCGGAGGGUGGUUGUGGCCAUCUCACCCACCUCUCCCUUGAUUCCUCCAUGUACUCACACAAGCCCUGGAAGGCCAAGGACACUGACACUCAGAAAGCUAAGGGAGUGGGUACAUUACAAAAGGAUUGGGAGAGGGGGAGUGGUAAAAACUCCACAGCUCACAUUCAUUGACUCAGCUCAUCUUUCAAGGCCCCAGUUCUCCUGAGUCAUCAGUGAGCAUGGCCUUGCUUUCAUAGUCACUAAGGCUGAAUGUGGGUCAUUGAGAUCUAAACUGGUGUUUAAAUGUAACCGCACAGAGGUGAGUCAGACACACACAAGGAGAAAAAGAGCAAAAGAGAGAGAGAAGAAAGAAGGAGACUUAGCUCUCUCUUAAGUGGGGGUGAAAAUCCAGGAGCGAAUCUGAAAUGAUCCACCUCUCCAAAUCCGUCCACUGUUUAAUUGGCUCCAUGUAGCUAUAGGGAAAUUGAGGCAUAACUGCUGUGUCCACUAGCCCAAAGCUGUUCCAGGGACAGCAGCAACCUCAGGAGGAGGCCAGAGAUUGGCCAAUGGAAAGGCAGAAAGCAGGGACUCUCCACCCAGGUGGAGGCACCACAGGGCCCGUGGAGGGAAUGGACAGCUGGCAUUACGGUCCCCCUACCUUUUCCCAAGACUCUUCCAGCUGACCUACUAAGGCUGCCCCUUGACCUUGAGUACAAAUGGCACUCAUGCCCAAACAGCCGCUUGACCAGAGCCAACCGACAACCUCCUGUGAGUUUCUCAGCCCCAGGCUGGAUCUGCAGUACCAUUGUGUCUUGAAUCCAGCUUGGCCAUAAGGAAAUGGGGCGAGACUUUGUCAUGUAUGUCGCUGAAGUUCAGCUAUGCAAAAAUGUUCACCUAUCCUUGAUCAACCAGUCCAGGAACCAUCAAAGAAGAAAAUGAGAUUCGACUUAGAAGACCUGUUCUUUAUAAACCCCUGCACAGCCCUAAUGAUCAACACCACUUCCAGUGCUCAUAAAUUACUGCUUCAAUAAUUGUUCUGCAAUUCUGCCUAUUCUCAUUGAAUGCUUCGUAUAAUCCCUUUAUUUACUUUGGGCUACGAUUCAUUUUUAUCAGUCAAAUGACUACUAGACUAUCCUGGUUUCUAAUUUGAAAUGUAUCCAAAGAAGAUUCCUGUCUCACCCUCUGCAAUCCACUUGCAUGUCUGACCACACUCGGUGCCUACACAAUCUUCACUUUGUCUAGCCUAAAUUCUUCUAACUGUGGCCUAAGGCCUUGGAAGAAUGAUGCCUCUGUGGGGUAAGAACUGCCUUCGUGGCAUAAGAAAGGCAGACCUGGGUGAUCUGGAAGGGCUGUUGCAAGGGGAUAGGAGUGCUGAGGCCUUUUCCAUUAAGAAUACACAGGACUAUGGAGACUCUUGUUUUACUAGAAACUUCUUCACAGAUACCUUAAAUUAGGAAGAAAAUGCCUUUGGUUCUUGGUUCUACUAUUGGCUUCAAAUUCUUAGGCAUGCCAGACCCUACUGAACAUCUUGACACAUGUCCUUUCUUCUCUGAACUGGCGCACAGGCAUGGUGAGUAACU